UCUGGGGUAGAUUUUCACGUUUUAGAUCAUAAGGCUGGGAUUCCUGUCCAGUGGGAAUUUACAGCCAGUCUUGGCUGGCUGUCUCUCCCUUAGGAAUAUAUAACCUUUGUCCUCGCCUUUGUGCCUCGCCUGGCACUCGGACUGCCGGACAAAGCAGAUGCCCGCUUCUCGCGAGAACAUAAUAAAUCUUUCACUUUCUACCUAGAAAAUCUAUGAGUGUUAUUUUUGGGUGAAGUGACCCGAAGUGGAGAAACGAGGUGUAUAGUGAAAGUAAAGGAGAGGACUCUGCAAAAAAUCCCAACCGGUCGGUGUGGAUAGAGCAGUCAGGUAACUUGUGUGCACGUGACCUAAGGUUAUAUGGUUGGUAAAAAACAAGUUGAAGAGGAUCCUCAAAGUGUCAGGUCAGAAUGAGAAAGA